AAAAAAAAUAACAGAAAAAAAAAAAAUCUUUUUUUGUUUGAAAACCGGUCAGAUUUCAAUUCCAUUUUUUUUUUUUUUUUUCGUUUUUCAUUA
rnacentral:ribozyme from 1 species